GGACGCUAUCGGAUACUGGGCGUAAGCGUGUGUAGGCGGUUCGGAAAGAAAGAUGUGAAAUCCCAGGGCUCAACCUUGGAACUGCAUUUUUAACUGCCGAGCUAGAGUAUGUCAGAGGGGGGUAGAAUUCCACGUGUAGCAGUGAAAUGCGUAGAUAUGUGGAGGAAUACCGAUGGCGAAGGCAGCCCCCUGGGAUAAUACUGACGCUCAGACACGAAAGCGUGGGGAGCAAACAGGAUUAGAUACCCUGGUAGUCCACGCCCUAAACGAUGUCAACUAGCUGUUGGGGCCGUUAGGCCUUAGUAGCGCAGCUAACGCGUGAAGUUGACCGCCUGGGGAGUACGGUCGCAAGAUUAAAACUCAAAUGAAUUGACGG
rnacentral:rRNA from 1 species